GGGGCUGUAGCUCAGUGGUAGAGCUCUUGCCUGGCAUGUGUAAGGCACUGAGUUUGAUUCUCAGCACCA
rnacentral:tRNA from 1 species